UUCCAGUAUAAGGGUACAUUUAUUUUCCAAAUAAAAAGAUUUAAGUAGAAUAAGAGGAA
rnacentral:tRNA from 1 species